AUUGAACGCUGGCGGCAUGCUUUACACAUGCAAGUCGAACGGCAGCGCGGGCUUCGGCCUGGCGGCGAGUGGCGAACGGGUGAGUAAUACAUCGGAACGUGCCCAGUAGUGGGGGAUAGCGCGGCGAAAGCCGGAUUAAUACCGCAUACGACCUGAGGGUGAAAGCGGGGGAUCUUCGGACCUCGCGCUAUUGGAGCGGCCGAUGGCAGAUUAGCUAGUUGGUGGGGUAAAGGCCUACCAAGGCGACGAUCUGUAGCUGGUCUGAGAGGACGACCAGCCACCUUGGGACUGAGACACGGCCCAGACUCCUACGGGAGGCAGCAGUGGGGAAUUUUGGACAAUGGGCGAAAGCCUGAUCCAGCAAUGCCGCGUGUGUGGUGGAGGCCUUCGGGUUGUAAAGCACUUUUGGCGGGAACGAAAAGGACUGUGCCAAUACCACGGUUCGAUGACGGUACCCGCAGAAUAAGCACCGGCUAACUACGUG
rnacentral:rRNA from 1 species